CAGGCCCGAGUGCAGAGCCUGGAGGCUGUCCCCUGCCCCGGCUGGGUCAAGCACUGGUCCCCAAGACCAAGACGUGCCCUGCCACUCCUUCCCUCACAACCUCUUAAUGGACCAGCUGCCCCUUCUGGGGGCCUGGACACACCCGACCCUUUCCAGGCAUCCCCCAAAUCCCCAAGGUUUCUGCACCCCCAGGCCCUGGAGCCAGCUCCCCUGGAGAUCUGACCAGUGGGCAAAGCAUGCAGGCACCCAGGACACUGGCUGCCGAAUGGGUGAGGAACACCAGUCCGGCACAUCUAGAACAUUCCAAUCCAGGCCUCUCCUGUUUUCCCAGAAUGAGAAAUGCCGAGUGUUUGGACACUGAGGUCAUGUUUUAUAAAGAUUCUCUACAUUUCCCCGCCCAGAAUGCCAACAUCCUCUCCAGGUGAGCCUGGUGACUGAGCAGACAGUGUCUGAGUCCCGCAUGGGAAAGAGACUCCCUGUGGCAGCUCACGUGACGCAAGCAACACCCAGCUUCAAAGCAUUUCCUGUCACUGAGCCUGCAGCUUGGAUUAUCAAGCCACCCCUUGUCAGACAGAGGGUAAAUAUUCCAGAGAUAGAGCCCAGGCUUGUCAGCAGAACAGGGCGCUGGUGUGCUGCCUUGUCUGACCAUCGAUGUAGUCCGUGCUGGUGCCUGCCCGAAUGGCCUGCCCCAGUGGCACCUUUCCGACCUGCCACCAGCUGCCAGAGCCAUGGGAUCUCCCUGCACCCCUGGCUUAUUGGCAAACACCCUCACAUGGCAUCUGGCACGAGGCAGCCUUCGUCUCUGGCGUCACUGAGCUUUGCUCGCUGUGUUCUCGGACACGGUAAAGGAUAUGGUGGCUUUGAAGGAGAACACGCCCAUGGACAACGAUCAUUCCUGUCUGGAUAGGAUUCGAUUUUGAAAAGUUAUUGUAUGGAGUAGCCUAAAUGAAAGACUCUGUUCUGAGAACUCUGGGCUUGCUGACAGAAGUAAAACACAUGUCCACAUCCUUCCUCAGGGACCGGGACAGCCCUCUUCAAGGCCAGCACUCUGUGCUUGCUUGCAAAGCACUCAACUAUUCCUUUAUUCAACAGAACCAAAAUCAUUUUGAAACAGAGUAUGUUUGCAAAGAUUGA